AGCGAACGCUGGCGGCAGGCCUAACACAUGCAAGUCGAACGAACUCUUCGGAGUUAGUGGCGGACGGGUGAGUAACACGUGGGAACGUGCCUUUAGGUUCGGAAUAACUCAGGGAAACUUGUGCUAAUACCGAAUGUGCCCUUCGGGGGAAAGAUUUAUCGCCUUUAGAGCGGCCCGCGUCUGAUUAGCUAGUUGGUGAGGUAAAGGCUCACCAAGGCGACGAUCAGUAGCUGGUCUGAGAGGAUGAUCAGCCACAUUGGGACUGAGACACGGCCCAAACUCCUACGGGUGGCAGCAGUGGGGAAUCUUGCGCAAUGGGUGAAAGCCUGACGAAGCGAUGCAGCGUCAAUGAUGAAGGUCUUAUGAUUUUAAAAUUCUUUCACCGGGGACUAUAAUGACGGUACCCGGAGAAGAAGCCCCGGCUAACUUCGUGGCAGCAGCCGUCGUAA
rnacentral:rRNA from 1 species